rnacentral:lncRNA from 1 species
CACUGAGUCAACAACCAGACAACAGCUAUUUUCCUAAAAUAACCUCACCAGGGCAUGAACGUGGGAUUCUUAUUCAACUGAAUUUCGGAUAUAAAGCGGGGGAGAGGAGAGCGUUUGUUCCCUGGUCAUCAUUUGGUGCCUCAAAGGAGAAUGUGCAGCCUAAGAUGUGCUAGAGGGAGGGUUUGUCUCUCAUGAGUGACUGGUCAAGGUGUAGAGGGAGUCACUGGGGUGUCACCUAAAACCCCUCAGCAGAGCAGUCAGCUGGAACCUGCAGCAGCCAUUAGCAGUGUGGUUACUACUGUACCAUGACAUCCAUUCAACCAUCGAGCCAAACUCCACUGAGAGCUGAGCGAUGGCAGAAUCUGAAAGGAUGAGGGACAGAAAUAUUGUGACAAAAGGACAAAAAAAAUUUUUUUUACACAACAUUUUAGGGGUCUGAAAAUGAAAGCUUUUAAAAUGGGUUUUAAAGAUCAAGUUUUUGGAGAUAAAUGAUACCAUUAUUGUCUCUUUGUAAGCAAUAAAAACUAGACUUUGUGAAAACUGUUAU